rnacentral:rRNA from 1 species
GACGUAGGGUGCGAGCGUUGUCCGGAUUUAUUGGGCGUAAAGAGCUCGUAGGCGGCUCGUCGCGUCGACCGUGAAAACCCGCAGCUUAACUGCGGGCCUGCGGUUGAUACGGGCGGGCUAGAGUUCGGUAGGGAGACUGGAAUUCCUGGUGUAGCGGUGAAAUGCGCAGAUAUCAGAGGACACCGUGGCGAAGGCGGUCUCUGGCCGAUACUGACGCUGAGGAGCGAAAGCGUGGGAGCAAACAGG